rnacentral:rRNA from 1 species
GAUGAACGCUGGCGGCGUGCCUAAUACAUGCAAGUCGAGCGAACAGACGAGGAGCUUGCUCCUCUGACGUUAGCGGCGGACGGGUGAGUAACACGUAGAUAACCUACCUAUAAGACUGGGAUAACUUCGGGAAACCGGAGCUAAUACCGGAUAAUAUAUUGAACCGCAUGGUUCAAUAGUGAAAGACGGUUUUGCUGUCACUUAUAGAUGGAUCCGCGCCGCAUUAGCUAGUUGGUAAGGUAACGGCUUACCAAGGCGACGAUGCGUAGCCGACCUGAGAGGGUGAUCGGCCACACUGGAACUGAGACACGGUCCAGACUCCUACGGGAGGCAGCAGUAGGGAAUCUUCCGCAAUGGGCGAAAGCCUGACGGAGCAACGCCGCGUGAGUGAUGAAGGUCUUCGGAUCGUAAAACUCUGUUAUUAGGGAAGAACAAAUGUGUAAGUAACUAUGCACGUCUUGAUGGUACCUAAUCAGAAAGCCACGGCUAACUACGUG